CAGAUGUCUAAUUAAGAGGUAUUAAUAUUUGGUCAUCUAGCAGACUGCAGUGCAAAUGUAAUUGAAAUGCUUACUUUGCCAUUCCUUAUACGUUGCUGCCCCUAGUGUAAUAAAUAGUAACUGCAUCUUCUGGACUGCUGAAGGCCAUUAAAGUCCUCCCAUCCUCCAUUUGAAUGUUAUAUACAGAACUUUAGACGUGUAUCUAUAUUUUUCAACACAGUUGAAUAUAUCUGCUAAUGUUUUUUAUUACAAAAGACGAAAAGAGGUGGUCAGACAGGGCCUUCUGAUUCUUCUGAUGCGGAAAUGAUCUGUGGCAACUACUUUCUGAUAUGUUUGUCUGAGAAUCAGUGUUCACUUUUGACAAACACACCCUUUUUAUACUCUGAAAUAACUUCAGAAGAUCCAUGCUGAUGUCACAUGUGUCCUAAUAAUGAGAUUUCCAGGGAAUUUGAAAGUUAAUGUGAAACCACUUUAAAGUUUUAUGCAAACAAGGUGUAUUCAUAUCUGUCUACAGUGUCUUCUAAGAUUAAGACUUGGCCGUAGACUUGAGUAGGGGUGUGUGUGUGUGUGUGUGUGUGUGUGUGUGUCUGUCUGUCUGUCUGUCUAUGUGUCUGUCUGUGUGUCUCUGUAAGCAUAUUCCAGGAAGUUGAGCUUACAGUGAUAAGAAUGCAUAAUGGGUUGGGGAUUAAACCUAGCCUCCUCACAUGCCUUAACUGUCCUAAAAUUAGCUCUGUAGACAAAGCUGGCUUCAAACUCCCAGAAAUUAUCUGCCUCUGCCUCCUGGGUGCUAGGACUGAAGGUGUGCACCACCAUUGCUUGACUCAACCUGUUUGUUUGUUUGUUUGUUGUUUGUUUGUUUGUUUUGAACACAAAUCAGGACCCAGGAUUGGCACCAGACAUAGUGGGCUGGGCUGUCUUGAAUCAAUCAUUAAUUCAAGAAAAUGCCCUACAGGCUUGCCAAUAUGCCAGUCUGUUGGAGGUAUUGUCUCAAUAGAGGUUUCCUCUAAAAUGACUCUAGCUUGUAUCAAGUCUAUCAAAAACAAACAAACAAACAAACAAACAAACUAACUAACUAACCAGGAUAAUAAGGAUGGGGGACCCAAAGAGACCCCCCAGGACAGGAAGCAAGGUUUUAUUAAUACAAAGGCUAGAGGCGGAAGGUUUUCUUCCCUUGUUCCCUUCAGCAUUUGGUAUGGGGAUCAGUGUAAGCCAUCAGUGAUUUACGAAUAAGCAAGAAACCCCACAGCCAAUGUAUGAGGACACAGAAGCUUUUCUUUUCCUUCUUAUUUGUAAGCAGCUGUCGCUCAGCUGAGCUGACCCGCAUGCCUGUUCAGGAGGUGCAAUAAAGGCAGAGCUGAGAGAAACAGCAUAGGUUCUUGAGGUUCAGGUAUGUCCUAAUGGGAAUUAUUAAUAAGCAAAAGGAAGAUAUAUUUUCUUUCAUGUAAAGCUUGCUUAACAAUUCUAUAUAAAUAUGGGCUAAAAUAGAGCAUGGUUGUUGAAAUGAGUCUUGAAAUACUUGCUUUUGUUUAUUUAUUUAUCUUGGGUUUUUUUUUGUUUGUUUGUUUGUUUUUGAGACAGGGUUUCUUCAUGUACCCUUGCCUAUGUGGGUACUCACUCUGUAGACCACGAACUCCCAGAGAUCCACCUCCCUCUGCUUCCUGAGUGCUAAGAGUAAAAGCUUGAGCCACCACCCAGCGAGAUACAUGGUUUUUAAAACUUAUUUCUCCCAUUACUGCCUGGCUUCUCUCCUUUUCCUGUGUCCCUUUCUCUAAUAAUUCAUUAUGUCUUUGUGGUUAUCUGUACAGGAAGAAUCACUUGUGUGCACACGACAAAAGCCCUUUGAAUGAACACCCUCUUAGCACUGAACAGCAAAGAGGAAAGUAGGCUAUUACCUGUUCCUGGUUGCUAAGCACAGUGUUCCUGCCUGGGCUGAGUCACUCAGGAGAGAUUAGAAGUGGAGCGGUUACUAAGACAACGGAAUCGCACAUCCAUUUCCUCUGUGAGGCCCCUUUUCUUCAUACAUUUAUAUCAAGUAAGAAAGGGAGGGCUCUGGGAUAAAAAUACUGGCAGUGAACAAAG
rnacentral:lncRNA from 1 species